UCUAACAAGACGAUCUUAAAAAGACGUGACAAUUAUAUGACAUGAAAUAUCAAACAAUAGUAUUAAACCCGACUCUUAAUGAUAAAUUUUUCAAAAGCUUUGAUAUUCAUGGACUUUUUCUGUAACCGAGAGACAAUCUGCUAUCUAAACAAUCAACACCAAACUCAUUUUAGUAUUAAUUUUCAAAUGGUAGUUAAUAGUCCGUGUUCACCAGAUACUGCACUGCUUUGAGAUAUGUCAUGUCUCCAUUUUCUUAAUCUGUUCGUUUAAUAAAAACACAAGAAAUUCAUUGUAACGCAGGAUAUUACUGAGGAUCAGCGGGCUAAACAAUCUCUAAACUUAAUGACAUUGCCUUGGCACAGACAACAAAUUUUCAUAAGCAAUUUUCUACUGUCAACAUGCAAUUACAUUGAAAUAUCUUCCAUCAUGGGGGAAUAGAGAGUGGAUUUUAGUUAUGUGAUUACUAUAUUGUUAUUGUGAAGGACUGGUAUAAUUCUUCUUCAUUAGACAAUAUUUACAAUGGAAUGUUUAACAAGGGAACAAUUUCACAGAAGAGUGGCAUUACAAAGAGAGAUAACUCAACAAGAAGAAUCAGAAGUGGAAUGAAUAAAACAGAAGAACAUUUUAGCAAUGGCGAUUCUACAUUAGAGGACAAACAAGUCAACAUUGUGUUUGGACAUAAAAACCAAUGUCUGACUGUUUUUUUGUAAUAAAAAUUUGUUUUUAUUACAUUAAUAUGGAUGUCUAUCAGUGCAACAUGCAAGUUAGUGAAUUUACAAGCCAGCUGGAUGACUGAAUUAUCUCAUAUUAUGAUUAAAACGAACUGUUUGAGUGAAGAGGUGUGCUUAAGAGCCGUACUUUACGAGAGACAUGGCCAUUGUAGAUUAUGUAGCUACGAGGAUUUUUUGAUGAAUAAGAAUUUCUAAUAACACUAUAAUAAAUCUAGCUGAAGGAUUUAUUCAGACUGUACAGACUAAUAUUUGGUGCAGAUUUUAUUAUAAAUUGGAAGGUUUACAUUGUGAAUUCACUACAAUGCUUAUUGAUGGGAGAUUUACGAAACCACAAAGUACAUUUGGCGACAUUUUUUCUACAUUGAUGUCACAGAAGUCAGUGACAAAUUGACAUAAUAAAUGUUAUUACGAUUAUUAUAAUCUUCUCGAAACAAAACCGUUAAACAAACAGGACAUAGUUAUUACUUCAUAAUACUAUCAGUCAUGCUGUACAUGUGUUUUUAUGCAUAGCAAAGGAGUGGGACUGUCUCAGAAACAGAAUAGACAUCCAUAUUAAUAUGCAUAGCAAAGGAGUGGGACUGUCUCAGAAACUGAAUAGACAUCCAUAUUAAUAUGCAUAGCAAAGG